rnacentral:rRNA from 1 species
UUAGGAAUUUUGGGCAAUGGGCGAAAGCCUGACCCAGCAACGCCGCGUGGGUGAUGAAGGCCUUCGGGUCGUAAAGCCCUUUUUCAGGGGAAGAUGAUGACGGUACCCUGAGAAUAAGCCCCGGCUAACUACGUGCCAGCAGCCGCGGUAAUACGUAGGGGGCAAGCGUUGUCCGGAUUUAUUGGGCGUAAAGCGCGCGUAGGCGGCGCGGUAUGUCGUGCGUGAAAUCUCCCGGCUUAACUGGGAGGGGCCGUGCGAAACUGCCGGGCUUGAGGUCGGAAGGGGAAAGUGGAAUUCCGGGUGUAGUGGUGGAAUACGUAGAUAUCCGGAGGAACACCAGCGGCGAAGGCGGCUUUCUGGUCCGAUACUGACGCUGAGGUGCGAAAGCGUGGGGAGCGAUCCG